rnacentral:rRNA from 1 species
CAACGUUAAUCGGGGCUGGGUGAGUCGACCCCUAAGGCGAGGCCGAAAGGCGUAGUCGAUGGGAAAAUGGUUAAUAUUCCAUUACUUCUGUGUAAUGCGAUGAGAGGACGGAGAAGGCUAAAUCAGCCUGGCGUUGGUUGUCCAGGUGAAAGGAUGUAGGCAUGUAUCUUAGGCAAAUCCGGGGUACUCUAUGCUGAGAUCUGAUAGCAAGCUGUACUUGUACAGCGAAGUGGUUGAUGCCAUGCUUCCAGGAAAAGUCUCUAAGCUUCAGUUACACAGGAAUCGUACCCGAAACCGACACAGGUGGUCAGGUCGAGUAGACCAAGGCGCUUGAGAGAACUCUGCUGAAGGAACUAGGCAAAAUGGUACCGUAACUUCGGGAGAAGGUACGCUGUUGUUGGUGAUGGAACUCGCUUCCUGAGCUGACGACAGCCGCAGAAACCAGGCCGCUGCAACUGUUUAUUAAAAACAUAGCACUCUGCAAACACGAAAGUGGACGUAUAGGGUGUGAUGCCUGCCCGGUGCUGGAAGGUUAAUUGAUGGGGUUAGCGUAAGCGAAGCUCUUGAUCGAAGCCCCAGUAAACGGCGGCCGUAACUAUAACGGUCCUAAGGUAGCGAAAUUCCUUGUCGGGUAAGUUCCGACCUGCACGAAUGGCAUAAUGAUGGCGGCGCUGUCUCCAGCAGAGGCUCAGUGAAAUCGAAAUCGCUGUGAAGAUGCAGUGUACCCGCGGCUAGACGGAAAGACCCCGUGAACCUUUACUGCAGCUUGACACUGAACUUUGACCUUACUUGUGUAGGAUAGGUGGGAGGCUUUGAAGCUGGAACGCUAGUUCCAGUGGAGCCGUCCUUGAAAUACCACCCUGGUAAUGUUGAGGUUCUAACUCUGUCCCGUGAUCCGGGACGAGGACCGUGUCUGGUGGGUAGUUUGACUGGGGCGGUCUCCUCCUAAAGAGUAACGGAGGAGUACGAAGGUGCGCUCAGCGUGGUCGGAAAUCACGCGUAGAGUAUAAAGGCAAAAGCGCGCUUAACUGCGAGACCCACAAGUCGAGCAGGUACGAAAGUAGGUCUUAGUGAUCCGGUGGUUCUGUAUGGAAGGGCCAUCGCUCAACGGAUAAAAGGUACUCUGGGGAUAACAGGCUGAUACCGCCCAAGAGUUCAUAUCGACGGCGGUGUUUGGCACCUCGAUGUCGGCUCAUCUCAUCCUGGGGCUGAAGCAGGUCCCAAGGGUAUGGCUGUUCGCCAUUUAAAGAGGUACGCGAGCUGGGUUUAGAACGUCGUGAGACAGUUCGGUCCCUAUCUACCGUGGGCGCUGGAAAUUUGAGAGGAUCUGCUCCUAGUACGAGAGGACCAG